rnacentral:rRNA from 1 species
GAUGAACGCUGGCGGCGUGCCUAAUACAUGCAAGUCGAGCGAACGGACGAGAAGCUUGCUUCUCUGAUGUUAGCGGCGGACGGGUGAGUAACACGUGGAUAACCUACCUAUAAGACUGGGAUAACUUCGGGAGACCGGAACUAAUACCGGAUGAUAUUUUGAACCGCAUGGUUCAAAAGUGAAAGACGGUCUUGCUGUCACUUAUAGAUGGAUCCGCGCUGCAUUAGCUAGUUGGUAAGGUAACGGCUUACCAAGGCAACGAUGCAUAGCCGACCUGAGAGGGUGAUCGGCCACACUGGAACUGAGACACGGUCCAGACUCCUACGGGAGGCAGCAGUAGGGAAUCUUCCGCAAUGGGCGAAAGCCUGACGGAGCAACGCCGCGUGAGUGAUGAAGGUCUUCGGAUCGUAAAACUCUGUUAUUAGGGAAGAACAUAUGUGUAAGUAACUGUGCACAUCUUGACGGUACCUAAUCAGAAAGCCACGGCUAACUACGUG